UGCCAGCCGCCGCGGUAAUACGGAGGGUGCAAGCGUUAAUCGGAAUUACUGGGCGUAAAGAGUACGUAGGCGGCUUUUCAAGUCGGAUGUGAAAGCCCUGAGCUUAACUCAGGAACUGCAUUCGAUACUGGAUCGCUAGAGUAUAUUAGAGGAUAGUGGAAUUUCAAGUGUAGAGGUGAAAUUCGUAGAUAUUUGGAGGAACACCAGUGGCGAAGGCGGCUCACUGGCUCGAUACUGACGCUGAGGUACGAAAGUGUGGGGAGCAAACAGGAUUAGAUA
rnacentral:rRNA from 1 species